UGGGCAUGUGGGUGCACAGAAAUCUUACUGACAGUUACAGAACAACCAACAGAAAAGAGCAGUGGAGGAACUGACAAAACGGAAUUGCUGCAACCUUUGCCUUGUGUGUUGGGAUGAGGCUUCAUCAUACUAAUGGUGUAGAGACAUCUGGUCCCUGAUGCUGUUGCCUGUCCAUCAUUGAGUGGUGUUUGAUCUCCAUGGGUCAGCUGUGAUUUCCUUCCAUUCCUAACUAUGGGGAGUCCUCGUCUUCUCGCUCAGUCUCUGGACCACGUCUACUCCCCUGUCUCAUUUGUGGCCAUCAUCUGGGGCUGGAUGAGGGGAGGACAGGCAGGGCAUGAGAUUCCUUCUGUGGAUCAUAUUGGUUUUGAAGUACUGGAAACUCCAACCAAAGUCAGGAGAAUCUUUAUCGUGACUGGGAUGCUCUUAUUUAUUUUGUAUUCUUCCAAAUAUUACCUUAUGUGUCUGGGCCUAUGACAUUAAAUCUCGAGACUCAAAGAUUUUUUUCUUUGUUAUCAUGACCUGUCUCAUCAGUCCUUCAAUGAGAAAAUUAAGACAGGCUGCUCAGCUGCCCAAGUUCUUUGAGUGUGAUCUAUGUGCCAGGAACUGAAGACACAGAGCUGAAUGUGAAAAAGUGCUUGCCCUCUGGAAGCUCAGAGCCUAUUAAGGAAUUGUGGAACCAAACAAAUAAUCAUUGCCAAAGUAAUAAGUGAUUUCAGAGAAAUACAUUCCAGAAGACUAAAAAACUGGAUUUAAAAAGUUAUUUAUGGAUAUAUGAACAUCGAUAUGGUUUGUAUUUGUGUCCCCACCCAAAUCUCACAUCGAAUUGUAAUCCCCAGUGUUGGAGGAAGGGCCUGAUGGGAGGUGACUGGAUCAUGGGGAUGGACUUCCCCCUUGCUGUUCUUGUGAUUCUCAAGAAACCUGGUUGUUUAAAAGUAUGUAGCACCUCCCCCUUUGCUCUUCCUCCUGCUCCAGCCAUGUAGGAUGUGCCUCCUUCCUUUUGACCUUCCACCAUGAGUGAAAGUUUCCUGAGA
rnacentral:lncRNA from 1 species